UACAGAGGUCUCGAGCGUUGUUCGGAUUCAUUGGGGCGUAAAAGGGUGCGUAGGUGGCGCUGUAAGUCGGGUGUGAAACUCCGUGGGCUUACCCGGGAACUUGCAUUCGAUACUGCAGUGCUUGAGGACUGGAGAGGAGACUGGAAUUCAUGGAUGUAGCAGUGAAAUGGCGUAGAGAUCAUGAGGAAGACCAGUGGCGAAGGCGGGUCUCUGGACAGUUCCAUGACACUGGAGGCAACGAAGGCCCAGGGGAGCAAACGGG
rnacentral:rRNA from 1 species